AUAAAACAUGCGCAUCAUCACACCUAACAUGAGGUCAAGCAAAUAGAGAACAUACCAGAAAAAUCCUACUAUCUUGCACCAAUCAUGGACUUCACCAAAUCAAAUCUUAAAAGUGGUCUUACCUUUAUGUCCCCACAAAAGCAAGUCAAUUUGGUGGCUUGGUGAGUCCGUGGUAGUCACAUAGAUGUUAACACAAACAACUCAAAUGUGGCAUGAUGUGCCUUUUGAUCGCAAGGGCGACAACAACUUUUUAUCAUUGGAAUUUGGAAAUACCAAGUUGAGACAUCGUUUAGGGACAUUUUGGCUGAAGGAGAAAGAGGGAGUCGUUUCCUACCAUCUUCCCUUUUCCUCACUCAUGAGGAAAUUACCAUUUUCAUGGCAACUCAAAAUAAAUGAGGAGAAGGAGCAUCCACCUCCUUCCCUCAUGAAUAAGAAAGGUAAGAUUGAUAGGUUAUUAAAACUUAAAGAACCAAAUCAAAGACUUCAUGUUAGUGCACCAGUUACGAUAAACAAAGUAAAAUCUAUUCCUGCAACAAGAAGCGAUAAAAAAUAACAAGAAUCUAUGUUCAACCAAGCUUGAACUUGAACAAUGCCAUCUAACACUUGUCCCACCAGUUACGAACUGAAAAAAGGGGUCUUUCAAAUCCCAAUUGGAGAAAUAAUCUUAUAGAAAAUAACUUCAAAUCGCAAAAGCACAAAACAGGAAAAAGCAUAGAUUGCUUCCACCAAUCAUGGACUUCACCAAAUCAAAUCUUAAAAGUGGUCUUACCUUUAUGUCCCCACAAAAGCAAGUCAAUUUGGUGGCUUGGUGAGUCCGUGGUAGUCACAUAGAUGUUAACACAAACAACUCAAAUGUGGCAUGAUGUGCCUUUUGAUCGCAAGGGCGACAACAACUUUUUAUCAUUGGAAUUUGGAAAUACCAAGUUGAGACAUCGUUUAGGGACAUUUUGGCUGAAGGAGAAAGAGGGAGUCGUUUCCUACCAUCUUCCCUUUUCCUCACUCAUGAGGAAAUUACCAUUUUCAUGGCAACUCAAAAUAAAUGAGGAGAAGGAGCAUCCACCUCCUUCCCUCAUGAAUAAGAAAGGUAAGAUUGAUAGGUUAUUAAAACUUAAAGAACCAAAUCAAAGACUUCAUGUUAGUGCACCAGUUACGAUAAACAAAGUAAAAUCUAUUCCUGCAACAAGAAGCGAUAAAAAAUAACAAGAAUCUAUGUUCAACCAAGCUUGAACUUGAACAAUGCCAUCUAACACUUGUCCCACCAGUUACGAACUGAAAAAAGGGUCUUUCAAAUCCCAAUUGGAGAAAUAAUCUUUUAUAGAAAAUAACUUCAAAUCGCAAAAGCACAAAACAGGAAAAAGCAUAGAUUGCUUCCACCAAUCAUGGACUUCACCAAAUCAAAUCUUAAAAGUGGUCUUACCUUUAUGUCCCCACAAAAGCAAGUCAAUUUGGUGGCUUGGUGAGUCCGUGGUAGUCACAUAGAUGUUAACACAAACAACUCAAAUGUGGCAUGAUGUGCCUUUUGAUCGCAAGGGCGACAACAACUUUUUAUCAUUGGAAUUUGGAAAUACCAAGUUGAGACAUCGUUUAGGGACAUUUUGGCUGAAGGAGAAAGAGGGAGUCGUUUCCUACCAUCUUCCCUUUUCCUCACUCAUGAGGAAAUUACCAUUUUCAUGGCAACUCAAAAUAAAUGAGGAGAAGGAGCAUCCACCUCCUUCCCUCAUGAAUAAGAAAGGUAAGAUUGAUAGGUUAUUAAAACUUAAAGAACCAAAUCAAAGACUUCAUGUUAGUGCACCAGUUACGAUAAACAAAGUAAAAUCUAUUCCUGCAACAAGAAGCGAUAAAAAAUAACAAGAAUCUAUGUUCAACCAAGCUUGAACUUGAACAAUGCCAUCUAACACUUGUCCCACCAG